AAGAAACUAGUAAAACAGAUUAUUACACAGCCUUGUCGAGGCUGAAUUGUGGGUUAAAGCCCCGCGUAUCUUG
rnacentral:tRNA from 1 species